AUUGAACGCUGGCGGCCGGCCUAACACAUGCAAGUCGAACGAGUGGCGGACGGGUGUGUAAUGUCUGGGAAACUGCCCGAUGGAGGGGGAUAACUACCGGAAACGGUAGCUAAUACCGCAUACCAUCGGAUGUGCCCAGAUGUGAUUGGCUAGUAGGUGGGGUAACGGCUCACCUAGGCGACGAUCCCUAGCUGGUCUGAGAGGAUGACCAGCCACACUGGAACUGAGACCCGGUCCAGACUCCUACGGGAGGCAGCAGUGGGGAAUAUUGCACAAUGGGCGCAAUCCAGAUGCAGCCAUGCGGCGUGAAUGAAGAAGGCCUUCAGGUUAUAGAGUACUUUCAGCGGGGAGGCGUUACGCGCAGAGGAAGCAUCGGCUAACUCCGUGCCAGCAGCCGCGGUAAUUC
rnacentral:rRNA from 1 species